rnacentral:rRNA from 1 species
UACGAAGGGGGCUAGCGUUGUUCGGAAUUACUGGGCGUAAAGCGCACGUAGGCGGAUAUUUAAGUCAGGGGUGAAAUCCCGGGGCUCAACCCCGGAACUGCCUUUGAUACUGGGUAUCUAGAGUCCAGAAGAGGUGAGUGGAAUUCCGAGUGUAGAGGUGAAAUUCGUAGAUAUUCGGAGGAACACCAGUGGCGAAGGCGGCUCACUGGUCUGGUACUGACGCUGAGGUGCGAAAGCGUGGGGAGCGAACAGG